rnacentral:rRNA from 1 species
UACAGAGGUCUCAAGCGUUUGUUCGGAUUCAUUGGGCGUAAAGGGUGCGUAGGCGGCGCGGUAAGUCGGGUGUGAAAUCUCGGGGCUUAACUCCGAAACUGCAUUCGAUACUACCGUGCUUGAGGACUGGAGAGGAGACUGGAAAUUUACGGUGUAGCGGUGAAAUGCGUAGAUAUCGUAAGGAAGACCAGUGGCGAAGGCGGGUCUCUGGACAGUUCCUGACGCUGGAGGCACGAAAGCGUGGGGAGCAAAACAGG